CAGGCCGGUUCAUGCUCGCCCAUCCUUGGGCCUGAUCUCUACAGCGCAAUUCGGCUCCGAGAGCCACUUAAACCCGCGUCCCUGCUUCAGGUCAGGAGAGACGAUGCUGGGUCGGCGCUACAGGCUGCUCCCUGCCCCUCCCACUUUCCCGCCCUCCCCACCCUUUCUCGGUUAUCCGCGCGCGCGGCCGCUGGCAUCUCUGGGAGGCACCUCUGAGAACAGCACAGCUCCUGGUUCGAACUAUAGAAGACCAUGCUGGACGUCUGCGCAGUUUGGAAAUCGUCUGGCGGGGGCGGGAGGUGGGCACCAAGGAGUAACAGAAAUAAGGAAGAAAGGGUGCCUCCUCUUCGCCUCAAGCCUAGCGAGGCCACCCGGUCCAUCCCUCGUGUGUUCACACUAACGCUGUCCUCCCAAAGCCGCCCCUGAUUCCCUGGAGAAUACUUUCGGGAAGCGAAGUUCAGACUCGGCGGCGGAAUUUGCUUUCAGUUUUCGCUGGGGGCGGACUCUGCCCUGUAGAAACCCUGUGAGUUUCUGAAGCUUGAGCAGAUGUGGGGGCUACCAGGCCUAGAACGGCAGCGAGAGACCACAAAGCCUGAGGGCUCUGCCUCUAACUGUGGGGCUGGACCCACUGCCUCCUGGGCAUGGGGAGCCAUCUCAAGCCUGUGACUGGGCAUAGGCUCACCGGUACAUGCCAGCCGGGAGCCAUUUCCAGAUGGAUGCCUACUGGUUGGACUUACUCGGUUUAGUGUAGCACCAACGACUACCAGAGAAAUCCUAUCGGUUCUAAAACUGACAAGAUUGAAUAUAUUAAUAGUCAUGUGUAAGUUUUAUCCAUGUAAGAAUAAAAUUGCACAAACAUCUCA